GAUGAAGAACGUAGCGAAAUGCGAUAAGUAAUGUGAAUUGCAGAAUUCAGUGAAUCAUCGAAUCUUUGAACGCACAUUGCGCCCGCCAGCAUUCUGGCGGGCAUGCCUGUUCGAGCGUCAUUUCAACCCUCGAGCCCCCCCGGGGGCCUCGGUGUUGGGGGACGGCACACCAGCCGCCCCCGAAAUGCAGUGGCGACCCCGCCGCAGCCUCCCCUGCGUAGUAGCACACACCUCGCACCGGAGCGCGGAGGCGGUCACGUCGUAAAACGCCCAACUUUCUUAGAGUUGACCUCGGAUCAGGUAGGAAUACCCGCUGAACUUAAGCAUAUCAAUAAGCGGAGGA
rnacentral:misc_RNA from 1 species